rnacentral:rRNA from 1 species
AAUAAGCGGAGGAAAAGAAACUAACUAGGAUUCCCCAAGUAGCUGCGAGCGAACCGGGAAGAGCCCAGCACUGAAUCCUGCGAGCCCCGCGCUCGCGUGGAAAUGUAGUGUUUGGGAGGAUCCGAUCAUCUCGUCCGAGCACGCCAGUCCAAGUCCCUCUUGAAAGCGGCCACUGCCCACAGAGGGUGCCAGGCCCGUAGGACGGUGGGUCGCUCGGGCGAAAGGAUCUCUCCGUAGAGUCGAGUUGCUUGAGAGUGCAGCUCUAAGUGGGUGGUAAACUCCAUCUAAGGCUAAAUAUGACCACAAGACCGAUAGCGAACAAGUACCGUGAGGGAAAGUUGAAAAGGACUUUGAAGAGAGAGUUCAAGAGUACGUGAAACCGUUCGAGGGUAAACGGACGCUAUCUGGAAAAUCGAUGCGAGAGAUUCCGCCUCGUCGUGGGCGACGUUGUGCCGAGUCCUCCGAUGGCGCGGCGUCUCGUGGCGCCCGCGCGUGCCUGCAUCUCGCGGUGCCUCUCGGGGUGUCCGGGGUGUUGCGUGCGCGCGGUGUCGUUCGCGGUCGCCGCACACGGCAUGCGACUCGGUGCUCGUCCCCGCUGGGGUGGCACUUCUCUCGCGGUAGUACGCCGCGACUCGUUGGUCGCCGGUCCAAGGCCUGUGCGAGGAGCCGAAUGGGUGUCUGUGGUGUGCACUCGCCGCUUGCGGCGGGCCGUGCGCUGCUUUCCCCCGCUCGACCGCGCGGUGUCCCGACCGGCUCGGUCGACGGUAGCAAAGCGAUUCGAAAAGUACCGAGAGCUCUCGGGCUCUCGGCGGACCCGUCAAACGGUCACGUAUCGCGUCUGCGGCGCUCUAUCCAGACCAGCUUCCGACCCGUCUUGAAACACGGACCAAGGAGUCUAACAUGUGCGCGAGUCAUUGGGAACGAACGAAACCCACGGGCGGAAUGAAAGUGAAUGUGUCGUGCUUGCGCGACAAGCGGGGAGAUGCUCGCCGUCCUAGCGACGCGCGAGCCGCAUCCCCGGGGCGUCUCGUCUCGAGUCGCGCGGAUCUCUCGGGGUUCGCGCCUCUGCGGGCGCACCCAGAGCGUACACGUUGGGACCCGAAAGAUGGUGAACUAUUCCUGGCCAGGUCGAAGUCAGGGGAAACCCUGGUGGAGGACCGAAGCGAUUCUGACGUGCAAAUCGAUCGUCAGAGCUGGGUAUAGGGGCGAAAGACUAAUCGAACCAUCUAGUAGCUGGUUCCCUCCGAAGUUUCCCUCAGGAUAGCUGGCGCUCGGAGUAACGUUGUCUAUGUGCGGGGCGACCCGGGCGCGCUCGCGCGCCCGUGCAGUCGCCCCCGCGAACACCAGUCUCAUCUGGUAAAGCGAAUGAUUAGAGGCCUUGGGGUCGAAACGAUUGCAACCUAUUCUCAAACUUUAAAUGGGUGAGACAUUCGACUUGCUCGAAUGCGGCGCUUGCGCCGCUGAAGUCGAACCUCGCAGGAUGAAAGAGUGCCAAGUGGGCCAAUUUUGGUAAGCAGAACUGGUGCUGUGGGAUGAACCAAACGUCGAGUUAAGGCGCCUAAAUCGAUGCUCAUCGGAUACCAUGAAAGGAGUCGGUUGCUCAAGACAACAGGACGGUGGCCAUGGAAGUAGGAAUCCGCUAAGGAGUGUGUAACAACUCACCUGUCGAAGCACCCAGCCCUGAAAAUGGAUGGCGCUCAAGCAUCGUGCCUAUACUCGACCGUCACCGGCAAAUGAGGUGUGCGCAUUGUGCGCCCCCUCACGAAGUCGUGACGAGUAGGAGGGUCGCGACGGUGUGCGUCGAAGUGUUCGUCGCGAGGCAGCAUGGAGCCGCCGUCGGCGCAGAUCUUGGUGGUAGUAGCAAAUACACUAGCUGGAAUCCGGUGGACUGAUGUGGAGAAGGGUUUCGUGUGAACUGUUGUAGCGCACGAGUGAGUCGAUCCUAAGCCCCAGGUUAAUUCCGACGUGAUGGUGUCGUACAACAUAUGCGCGAUCGACACUAGCCGUGUUGACACCGUCGGGCGAAAGGGAGCCCGGCUCCAAUUCCGGGACCCGGCAGCGGAACCGAUCAUGCGGGCCAUCCGUCGCGUGUACGUGCGCACGGACCUCGUCGGGGCAACCCAACAGGACUCGGAGACGCCGUCGGGCGGUCGAGGCAGAGUUUUCUGUUCUGCAUGAGCGUUCGCGUUCCCUGGAAUCGCAUAACGCGGAGAUAGGGUUCGGGACGCGAAGAGCACCGCACUCCCCGCGGUGUCUCGACGCGCACGACGGACCGUGAAAAUCCGAGCGAGGGCCACGUGGAGGUGUCGCGCCGGUUCGUACCCAUAUCCGCAGCAGGUCUCCAAGGUGCGGAGCCUCUAGUC